CCAUGGACCCGGGCCACUGUCCUGCUAUUGUAUUUGUGUGGCCAACUUUUCUUCUGUCUCAUUCACUCUCCCCGGCCCCUUCGAUCCCAGGCAACAACACCCACUGCCAAGGAAGAGAGAAGAAAAGGAGAGCCCGUAGCAUCUGGGCUGGAUUAAAUCACGAAGCACAAAAGCGUCCAGGCGAUUGGAAGCCAGCAUUCUGGGAGAAGGACCACAGCCCUCACGUUGUUUCUGGUCUCCUGGCGGAUCACUUCCUCAAACAGGUUAUGAGCACUUCUGAACUCAAUUCACACCCAGCACACAGCAGAUACAUCUGGUCCUACAUGAAAUGUGGGCACACUGGAGAGUAUAGAAAGCAAAACUUCUUGAGCAAGUAGCCCCAGAGCUUUCUGACAAUACGUUGUAUCCAGUGAACUCUCAGGAAACUAGCAGGGAACUUUCUGGAAUGCAGCUACCAUUUUGUGACCAUGACCUCAAAAAUAGAUGCAAUCUUACAGAGAAGAAAAGUUAUCCUUUAUGCUUACCUUCUGCACCAUCCACCAUCCAUGAACUGGGCACAGAACGGAAGAAGAGGGAAAGAAACACAAAUCCCAUCCAUUCUUUUAAGAGCACACUCUGGGGAUUUUACACAUCACUGUGCAUACUCUGUUAACCAGGACUUAGCUUGUGGCCAAAAUCAGCUACAAAGGAAUCUUGGAAAUGUGGUCUAGCUCUACAUCCAUGUGGCUGGCUAAAAAUUCUAUUACUAAUGCAGGAUAAGAAGAUUGGAUUUGGAGGGUAGAACUAGUAAUCUGUAUAUAUUUUUUUUCUUUUUCCCUUUUCAAUUUCUGACAGCAAAAUAAGAUUUUGCUGAUAAUGAACUCAAAAGCCAAAUAUUGUUGAGAAAGAAAGGAUAUCAAACUUUAUCUCUUUCUCGAGCGAAGCAAGAACCAGGCCUAAAGGACUUACAUCAACUUAAUUUUUCCUAGAAUAGAGCAGGUUACCCUUUCGGUUAGGAGGUCGAGACCUGUCCUUCUACUACUGGUAGUAAAUUAUAUAAGGCAAGAAAAAGAAAAGGCUGAUACUUUUAUGGUAUAGGACAUGGUGAGGGACACAGAGAGUACAGAGUGGAAGGUAUGAAUGUCCAGGCUGUCCCCUGAAAGAAGGAGCUUCAGAAGACCGUGGGUAACACAGGAAACAGAGGGAGGCUCGUGGCUCUACCCCCAUGUCCCGACUUUCCCCCCUAGGCUCUGGGAAAAGGUUUUCUUAAAGACUUCUGUGUGUUAGUCCAGUGUCAUUGGUGCAGUAUGAUUUCAGAGAGAAGACUUGAGUUAAGCUAUCUGGGUUUCCCUUAGCUGCUUUAUGUUGUGAGUACUGAAUUGAAAAUCAGUAGAUAGGCCAUGGGGCCGGCCAUGGCUGGGCCAGGUGACCCACACAAUAGCUGAGGGCACAGGUUGGCCCGAAGGAAGGAAGUAGACACGACGCAGGAAGCCAAGUUGAGGCUGAGUAAACCAACUCCAUCCGCGCCGACAGAGGGACCACCGGAGUGUGCUUAUAGUCUUUUGAAAUCUCAUGAAAAGAAAAUACAAUUAGAAUUUUCCCCCAGACUUUCUCCCAACCGUGCAAGAGAAAAGAGAUUUUAAAACAAACAAACAAAUAAAUGAAACAUUUGUUCUCAAGAAAGGUAUACUGUAGUUUCCUAUAAUACAUUAUAUGCACCAAGCCUGAACCCUUGCCAAACAUUUAUGAAGAAAAGACAGGAAAGAUUCCACCCACCUUCUGGUCGAACUCUUGC